AGAGGUCCCGCCUGCCCUGUGACCACUGGUUUAACGGCCGCGGUAUUUUGACCGUGCAAAGGUAGCGCAAUCACUUGUCUUUUAAAUGGAGACCCGUAUGAAUGGCAUAACGAGGGCUUAACUGUCUCCCUUUUCAGGUCAAUGAAAUUGAUCUCUCCGUGCAGAAGCGGGGAUAAACCCACAAGACGAGAAGACCCUAUGAAGCUUUAGACAAUAAGUUAGAUCAUGCUAUAACCCCUACAUUAAUAGAAUAAGCCAACUGACUUCUGACCGAGUGUCUUUGGUUGGGGCGACCACGGGGUAAAGUUUAACCCCCACGCGGAAUGGACCCAAAACAUCCUGAAGCUGAGAACCCCCGCUCAAAGCGCCAGAAACUCUCUGACUUUCUUGAUCCGGCAAAGCCGAUUUACGGACUAAGUUACUCUAGGGAUAACAGCGCAAUCUCCUUUCAGAGACCCUAUCGACAAGGAGGUUUACGACCUCGAUGUUGGAUCAGGACAUCCUAAUGGUGCAGCCGCUAUUAAGGGUUUGUUUGU
rnacentral:rRNA from 1 species